rnacentral:rRNA from 1 species
AGUGAACGCUGGCGGUAGGCCUAACACAUGCAAGUCGAACGGCAGCACAGUAAGAGCUUGCUCUUACGGGUGGCGAGUGGCGGACGGGUGAGGAAUACAUCGGAAUCUACUUUUUCGUGGGGGAUAACGUAGGGAAACUUACGCUAAUACCGCAUACGACCUACGGGUGAAAGCAGAGGAUCUUCGGACCUUGCGCGAUUGAAUGAGCCGAUGUCGGAUUAGCUAGUUGGCGGGGUAAAGGCCCACCAAGGCGACGAUCCGUAGCUGGUCUGAGAGGAUGAUCAGCCACACUAGAACUGAGACACGGUCCAGACUCCUACGGGAGGCGGCAGUGGGGAAUAUUGGACAAUGGGCGCAAGCCUGAUCCAGCCAUACCGCGUGGGUGAAGAAGGCCUUCGGGUUGUAAAGCCCUUUUGUUGGGAAAGAAAAGCAGCAGGUUAAUACCCCGCUGUUCUGACGGUACCCAAAGAAUAAGCACCGGCUAACUUCGUG